AGAACUUUCCAGAGAUGGAUUGGUGCCUUCGGGAACUGUGAGACAGGUGCUGCAUGGCUGUCGUCAGCUCGUGUUGUGAAAUGUUGGGUUAAGUCCCGCAACGAGCGCAACCCUUAUCCUUUGUUGCCAGCGGUUAGGCCGGGAACUCAAAGGAGACUGCCAGUGAUAAACUGGAGGAAGGUGGGGAUGACGUCAAGUCAUCAUGGCCCUUACGACCAGGGCUACACACGUGCUACAAUGGCGCAUACAAAGAGAAGCGACCUCGCGAGAGCAAGCGGACCUCAUAAAGUGCGUCGUAGUCCGGAUUGGAGUCUGCAACUCGACUCCAUGAAGUCGGAAUCGCUAGUAAUCGUAGAUCAGAAUGCUACGGUGAAUACGUUCCCGGGCCUUGUACACACCGCCCGUCACACCAUGGGAGUGGGUUGCAAAAGAAGUAGGUAGCUUAACNNUUCGGGAGGCGCUACCAUUGUG
rnacentral:rRNA from 1 species